AUUGAACGCUGGCGGCAGGCUUAACACAUGCAAGUCGAGCGAGCGGCGGACUGGUGAGUACUGUCUGGGAAACUGCCUGAUGGAGGGGGCUACCUACUGGAAACGGUAGCUAAUACCGACUACAAUCAGAUGUGCCCCUAUGGGAUUAGCUAGUCGGUGGGGUAAUGGCUCACCUAGGAGACGCUCACUAGCUGGUAUGAGAGGAUGACCAGCAACAGUGGAACUGUGACACGGUCCAGACGCCGACGGGAGGCAGCAGUGGGGAAUAUUGCACAAGGGGCGCAAGCCUGAUGCAGCCAUGCCGCGUGUGUGAAGAAGGCCUUCGGGUUGUAAAGCACUUUCAGCGAGGAGGCGUUACUCGCAGAAGAAGCACCGACUAACUCCGUGCCAGCAGCCGCGGUAAUAC
rnacentral:rRNA from 1 species